rnacentral:rRNA from 1 species
UACAGAGGGGGCAAGCGUUGUUCGGAAUUACUGGGCGUAAAGGGCGCGUAGGCGGCCAACUAAGUCAGACGUGAAAUCCCCAGGCUCAACUUGGGAACUGCGUCUGAUACUGAUUGGCUUGAGUUCGGGAGAGGGAAGUGGAAUUCCAGGUGUAGCGGUGAAAUGCGUAGAUAUCUGGAGGAACACCGGUGGCGAAGGCGGCUUCCUGGACCGACACUGACGCUGAGGCGCGAAAGCCAGGGGAGCAAAC